rnacentral:rRNA from 1 species
CGCCGCCCACGACAUCACGAGAAGUCCACUGAACCUUAUCAUUUAGAGGAAGGAGAAGUCGUAAUAAGGUUUCCAUAGGUGAACCUGUAGAAGGAUCGUUG